CUGACGCGAGCGGAACCGGAAGUGUGGGGGAAUAGCCGGUCCCCAACAUGGCGGCCGCCUGGCCCUCCGGUCCUGUUUCUCCGGAGGCCGUGGCCGCCCACCUUCUUGGAGUUUUGUGGCUCGUGGCAGCCACCACGGGACCUUGGGGGGCUGUCGCUACCGCUGCCGCCGGGGGCGACGAGACGCUUAAGUGCGAGGACCUCAAAGUGGGGCAAUAUAUUUGUAAAGAUCCCAAAAUAAACGAUGCUACACAAGAACCAGUUAAUUGUACAAACUACACAGCUCAUGUUUCAUGUUUUCCAGCACCCAAUAUAACUUGUAAGGAUUUCAGUGGCAAUGAAACACAUUUUACUGGAAAUGAAGUUGGUUUUCAUAAGCCUAUAUCUUGCCGAAAUGUAAAUGGCUAUUCAUACAAAGUGGCAGUUGCAUUAUCUCUUUUUCUUGGAUGGUUGGGAGCAGAUCGAUUUUACCUUGGAUACCCUGCCUUGGGUCUGUUAAAAUUUUGCACUGUAGGAUUUUGUGGAAUUGGGAGCCUAAUUGAUUUCAUUCUUAUUUCAAUGCAGUUCUCGGCGGACACAACAUCUUUGUUUGUAUCUGGUGCUGAGGAUCGAACCCGGGCCGCACGCAUGCUAGGCGAGCGCGCUACCGCUUGAGCCACAUCCCCAGGCUCAGAUAUGGAUGGUUUUAACCAGGCCUAAUGGAAGAGAAGAUACCAAGAAAUCUCAGCACCACAUGGUCACGAGAGCUAUCACACAUUUGAGAUGGUAGAGCAGAAAGAUGAGGAACCUGGCAUCCUGAGAAGGGGCUGUUGUUGCACAAACCUUCUUUCAAAGGAAUAAUAGAGACGCCACUUCUGAGUGCCUACGAUGAAGGCUGCAGAACCUACCGGGUGAGCUAUAAUUAAUAGAGAUGCCAACUGCCAACUAACCAGAAAAACUCCAGCAUCGUAAAUCUGUCCCCUGGCUUCUCACGAGAACUGAUGGAUGAGGAAUUCAGCUUAAAUAUUUAACAAUCAAUAAUUCAAAUACCUACCCAACCAUUUGCAAGUUGGCAUGUUUAUAAAUAUAAGGGCCACACUUUCUUGCAUUUCACAUGAAACUUACUUAGAAUUGAAUGGAGGGGGUGGGAAUGGCCUGUGUUGUAUGAGAAAGAAUCUGGUGGAGUAAAUAGAAACACCCUUCCAGUCUUGGCUCAGUCUGAAUCUACUAAAUUUCCAGCUUUGAUCUUGCACCAUUGUUCAUGCCUUCACGUUGCUGGUGAGCAAAUCAACCACAAAUAACGAGCUGGAAGGCCCAGUUGGGCGGCCAACAUAUAACGCCAGUGCCUGGGGUCUGCCUCAGCAGCUCCAGGGCUGAAACCCAAUGCACAGCCGGACGGGACAAUGAGUUAUUCACGCUGAGCUUCCUCCACCUUUGUCAUGAGAAUGGGUCAUCUCGGGCUGUAACUCAACUUCCUUCAUGUCCCAAUAGUCAUUCAGGAACGAGGCCCAUCCCUGGGUCACACUGUGGCGGGUGGCAGGGGUCUGAGCUGUGUGCAUCCCUCUCCUGGGUAGGAGGAUGGGGCUUGACUUUAACUCUUUUGAAUGAAUCAAGUCUACAGGCAGCAUUGACAGCAGUGAUUUAUCUGCACUUCACAAUUAUCGGAUUUAGAUGCUCCAAGCACUUGCUGAUUUAUUAAACUGCUCUCUCUUCUGAGGGAGAAUCAAAGCACCUCCUCUGGCUCUAAUGGAUAGACACUUUGGAGGCACUUAGGGAAGCCAUUGUUGAUAAGACUUACUACCUAAAAGAGAACCCUAUCUCGUGUUGCCUUUGCACGGAAAUAACCUCUAUUAUUUGUGUUUCCUUCACAGUCAAUAACUCACCCUUUCCAGAGAAGGGUGGGGUGCUGGCAGAUGCCUACGACGCUGGAGGGGUGGGAGAGUCAGGCCUGAGCAAUGAGCUGCCUGCCACAUCUGUCUUCCUUUGCCCACAUUUCCCAGCUGUGUAUCUCACAACCCCCGUAGCCCAAGAGUCUGGGUGGAUGGGAGACCCACAGCUGUGUCACCAGCUGUGUACACUCCCUGUUAGGAGGUUCGACCUCCCUCCCAUUGGCUACCCUUAGAAACAAUCCCAGCUAGGACCCUUGACCUCACCCUGUUCACAAAGCUGUGCACUUCUGAACCAGUGGGGAUGGAGAAGAGCAAGUGGUCAUCCCACAGAAUUGAGUCCAGGUGUGAUCUGCCUCCACCCUGGAGGGUGGAGCAGGGCUGGGAGUUCUCCUUGCCAACUGUAAUUGACUAUUCCAAGUGGUGAAUAGUCUGUUAAUGAACAGGUGCCAGGGAGCAGCGUAUCUGGUUGGAAUUUUGGCUUUGUUCUGGGAAAACAAAAAUUGACUGCUAGUAAAAACGGGACAAGGCGAUGGAAAGUCAAACAGUCCUUGCUAAGGCACCAUCAGGGUUUGUCUUGGAUUUACAUUUCAGGGGUGACGGGGGAACAGUGAGGUGUAGGUCAGUUAUAGUUGAAAGAAGACAAAGGAAAAAUUAAAACUGGCUUGGAGUGAGGAUAAAUGAAUGUGAGAAGGUGUGAUAUGUACAAUUUCUGCAGAUUGAUACAAAACACAAUGGCAGUGGCUAAGGUGCAGUUUAUGAUCAUUUCAAACCAUAUUGAAAAUCAUUUUCAUUGAGUGGGGAAGUACUGAUGAGAAAGAGAAUUAAGAGAGAGACUCUGUUGUGGGAGGAGGGAAAGACAGGAAAUGUAGUUAGUAGAUACAAAGUUAUGAAUACAGUUAGAGAAAGCAGACUAGUUGGUAAGACCUUAUGAAAAGCAUCUGAGGUUCUGGGGACCAGUGGGUUCUUGCAUAUGGGAAGGAGUAGUAUCCACCAUAAGUCCUCCAGGGGCCGCUCCAUGUCUUCUGUUUGCUCUGCCCAUUGAUGUUGCUGCCAAGAAGCAGCCAUAGUCAGAAAUGCCUUCUCACCUUGUACCUGGGCUUGGGUUGACAGUAAUGGUCAGAGCUGCCCCUAUUCUUGCCCAGGAAAUGGGUGCGCUUGAAGCAGAGUGCUUGAGUAAAACAGGAGCUGAAAUUUGUAUUUGAGGUUCAUUAUCACUCUAGGAAGAAGAUAUUAUUGACUUUAUCUUUAAAAAUAGGGGCAGAGAAAGAUGGAGCACCCUGCUCAAAGUCACAUAUUCAUAUAGUUUCUUGCAGAGCUGAAAUUUUGGUCUAGGUGUUCCAUCUUUUCUCCCCAGGUAUUCCCUUUUAGUAUACAAAGAAGUGAACUGGGAGCCCUACGGAAGAGAAGAUCCCCCUAGCUGGGAUGGGGACUCUUGUCCCUAAUGAUUGUAACCCUGUUGUGUCUUUUUAUACAUGAUGGUUCCAAGCACCAUCAUAAAGAUCUUGAGCUACUAAAAUAUACACAAAGACCAUGAUGAGAGAUGAGCUGAUGUUCCUUUUAUGAUAACUGGAUACGAAGACGGUGUUCCACGGUCCACUUUAUGCUUUGAAUAUAGCCCUUGCUGCUCUACCACAGCAACUUGCUUUUAAAAUGGACAUGUUUCUUGCUCUUCCUCUCUCCCUGCUCCUCCUCCCUAAUCUCUCCCCCUCCCUAAUCUCAGUUUCUGGAAAACUGAUUUACCUGUCCAUCCCCAUUUUAGGCAGAUUUAUCUGUCCUUAAGUAUACACCCAACAUAAGAAUGACAUAAUCCAGGCUUUGGGGAUGGUACCAGAAGAUCUCAGAAAUGACUAUCUACCAAAUGAAGUGAAUCACAGCUCCUUCAGAGAACACGUGGAAUGUAGACUUUGAAUCACCUCUUUAAAAGCCCCCUGUUCCUGCGGAUGGGCAGAAUCACAGCCUUUGUGACAGGAGUCCCCUUUGUUUCUCUUUUGCUAGCAAAGCAAUAAACCUUUUUCCUUUU